rnacentral:rRNA from 1 species
CGCCUUGCCAGCCCGCUCAGAAACUCAAAUGAAUUGACGGGGGCCCGCACAAGCGGAGGAGCAUGUGGUUUAAUUCGAUGAUACGCGAGGAACCUUACCUGGGCUCGAACGUAAGAUGACUGUAGGUGAAAGCUUACAUCUCUUCGGAGCAUUUUACGAGGUGCUGCAUGGUUGUCGUCAGCUCGUGCCGUGAGGUGUCGGGUUAAGUCCCAUAACGAGCGCAACCCUUGCCUUUAGUUGCCAGCAGUUCGGCUGGGCACUCUAAAGGGACUGCCGGUGUUAAACCGGAGGAAGGUGGGGAUGACGUCAAGUCCUCAUGGCCUUUAUGACCAGGGCUACACACGUACUACAAUGGCCGAUACAAAGGGCAGCGACACUGCGAGGUGAAGCCAAUCCCGUAAAAUCGGUCUCAGUCCGGAUUGGAGUCUGCAACUCGACUCCAUGAAGUUGGAAUCGCUAGUAAUCGUGGAUCAGCAUGCCACGGUGAAUACGUUCCCGGGCCUU